GACGAACGCUGGCGGCGUGCUUAACACAUGCAAGCCGAACGGAAAGGCCCUGCUUUUGUGGGGUGCUCGAGUGGCGAACGGGUGAGUAACACGUGAGUAACCUGCCCUUGACUUUGGGAUAACUUCAGGAAACUGGGGCUAAUACCGGAUAGGAGCUCCUGCUGCAUGGUGGGGGUUGGAAAGUUUCGGCGGUUGGGGAUGGACUCGCGGCUUAUCAGCUUGUUGGUGGGGUAGUGGCUUACCAAGGCUUUGACGGGUAGCCGGCCUGAGGGGGUGACCGGCCCCAUUGGGGCUGAGUUACGGCCCAGACUCCUACGGGGGGCAGCGGUGGGGAAUAUUGCACAAUGGGCGGAGGCCUGAUGCAGCAACGCCGCGUGCGGGAUGACGGCCUCGGGUUGUAAACCGCUUUCGCCUGUGACGAAGCGUGAGUGACGGUAAUGGGUAAAGAAGCACCGGCUAACUACGUG
rnacentral:rRNA from 1 species